GACGAACACUGGCGGCGUGCCUAAUACAUGCAAGUAGGACGCAGUUGCGAACGGGUGAGUAACGCGUAGGUAAACACCCAUUAGAGGGGGAUAACUAUUGGAAACGAUAGCUAAUACCGCAUACUAGUAGAUGGACCUGCGUUGGAUUAGCUAGUAGGUAGGGUAAUGGCCUACCUAGGCAACGAUACAUAGCCGACCUGGGAGGGGGAUCGGGCACAAUGGGACUGGGACACGGCCCAGACUCCCACGGGAGGCAGCAGUAGGGGAUCUUCGGCAAUGGGGGGAACCCUGACCGAGCAACGCCGCGGGAGUGAAGAAGGGUUUCGGUUCGUAAAGCUCUGUUGUUAAGGAAGCGGUACUUAACCAGAAAGGGACGGCUAACUACGUACCAGCAGCCGCGGUAAUAC
rnacentral:rRNA from 1 species